UAUUUUAGGUGUGCCCUGCCCAGUGAGAUUUAUUUAACGGCCGCAGUACUCUGACUGUGCUAAGGUAGCAUAAUAAUUUGUCUUUUAAUUCUAGACUAGUAUAAACGGGUGUUUUAAUGGGGUCUGUCUCUCUUGUAUUAUAUUAAACUUAAUUAUAAGGUGAAAAUGCCUUAUUAUAUAUAAUUAGACGAGAAGACCCUUAGAGUUUAAAUUUUAUUUUGUUGGGGCGACAGAGAAGCAGAUAGCCUUNCUUGAUUUAUUUUAUUUCAUCUAUCAAUUUAAUUAUUAUAAUAACUACCUAAGGGAUAACAGCAUAAUUUUUUAGAAAGAUUAUGACCUCGAUGUUGGAUUAAGGACUUAUAUACCAACAGUUUAAUAAGAUUGUUCUGUUCGAAC
rnacentral:rRNA from 1 species